rnacentral:rRNA from 1 species
GACGAACGCUGGCGGCGUGCUUAACACAUGCAAGUCGAACGGAAAGGCCCUGCUUUUGUGGGGUGCUCGAGGGGCGAACGGGUGAGUAACACGUGAGUAACCUGCCCUUGACUUUGGGAUAACUUCAGGAAACUGGGGCUAAUACCGGAUAGGAGCUCCUGCUGCAUGGUGGGGGUUGGAAAGUUUCGGCGGUUGGGGAUGGACUCGCGGCUUAUCAGCUUGUUGGUGGGGUAGUGGCUUACCAAGGCUUUGACGGGUAGCCGGCCUGAGAGGGUGACCGGCCUCAUUGGGACUGAGAUACGGCCCAGACGCCUACGGGGGGCAGCAGUGGGGAAUAUUGCACAAUGGGCGGAAGCCUGAUGCAGCAACGCCGCGUGCGGGAUGACGGCCUUCGGGUUGUAAACCGCUUUCGCCUGUGACGAAGCGUGAGUGACGGUAAUGGGUAAAGAAGCACCGGCUAACUACGUG